UACGUAGGGUGCGAGCGUUAAUCGGAAUUACUGGGCGUAAAGAGUGCGUAGGCGGUUCGUUAAGUCAGCUGUGAAAGCCCCGGGCUCAACCUGGGAACUGCGGUUGAAACUGGCGAACUAGAAUCUGGCAGAGGGGGGUGGAAUUCCGCGUGUAGCAGUGAAAUGCGUAGAGAUGUGGAGGAACACCGAUGGCGAAGGCAGCCCCCUGGGCUGAGAUUGACGCUCAGGCACGAAAGCGUGGGGAGCAAACAGG
rnacentral:rRNA from 1 species